UAUUAAGCCACUUGUAUUGGUCUCCGAAAAAGAAAAUGUACGUGUUUGUUUACAAGAUAUGUUGUAAGUCACAAACGCGUAUACGUCUGGGGUAAUGAAAUUAAGUAAGCAUGGGCAACAAUUCAGCGCCUAGUGAGUCUGUGUUAAUGAUCUAGCUAUCUGUUUGUUGAAACAGACAAUGAAGUAUACAGCCUUGUUUUAGUCGCUACAAUAAUGAAUUAUGCGUUUUACUGCUUUGUGGUAAUUAUUAUAACGUUUCAAUAAUAGUGAUGUAUUCAUUUCUUCAUGUGAAGUAUUUUUUCAACGUCAUACUUAAAUUUCCUAUUUAAAAUUAAAUUUUUAGAUGAGAUGACUUCAGCCACUUAAAAAAAAAUCUUUAGAUGUUUUACUAUUAAUAUAUAUUAAAUCUGUCAUCUGAUAAUGUAUUUCUUUGUCUCAUUCACAUUAAAUAAAGUUAUAUUUAAUAUCUUCCUGUAUUUUGCCGCUUAAAAACGCCUGGAAAAUAAUACUGACAAUGUGAACAAGACAGUGUUUUGUGUACCCCAUUCCGGGUCUCUAUUGUUGUGAAUGCGCACCAGCACAAAAAGGUAAAGAAUCCAGGAUACUUGUUGUAAAGUUUCGCUGUUAAAACCCAGUGUUGAAAAUCAUCUAAAAAUAGUUGCAUUUUUUGCAGAAAAAUGCUCGCCAACAAGUACGCAGGAAAAUUUUAAACAGCUAUAAUACAAUGUAUUUUAAACCCAGAUAUACAUUCUUCCAACUAGACCAAAAGUCACACUGCAAUAAUGUUUUGGAUUAUUCACCUUUUCGACAUUAUUUUAAGGGAGACAACUCUGGGUGGAUUUAGUGAGGUCGGGGGGGUACUCGAUCACCUACUGCAGUGCGUCUGCAUACAGUUCUGUGUUGAAGCAAUUAUAAUUUCCCAAUAAUUUGCAGAUAUUACUUAUAUGGAACAUCACAGUGUCAGCAUAAACUGGGAUAGUGUAUCUAAUUCUGCACGAAUCUCAAGAUUUCUACACCUGCAAUUUUAUUAACUCUUGCAAUAAAUAUUAUACAUCAUCACAGUUACAUAACUAUGUUCUUUGAAAUAAAUAAAAUAAAGAUA